GCUGGGAGUGGUGGUGCUUGCCUGUAAUCCCAGCAGCUCAGGAGGCUGAGGCAUGGGGAUUGGGAGUUCAAAGCCAGCCUCUGCAAAAUCCAGAUGCUAAGCAACUCAGUGAGACCCUGUCUCUA
rnacentral:sRNA from 1 species